rnacentral:rRNA from 1 species
UAAUACGGAGGAUCCAAGCGUUAUCCGGAUUUAUUGGGUUUAAAGGGAGCGUAGAUGGGUUGUUAAGUCAGUUGUGAAAGUUUGCGGCUCAACCGUAAAAUUGCAAUUGAUACUGGCAGUCUUGAGUAUAGUUGAGGUAAGUGGAAUUCGUGGUGUAGCGGUGAAAUGCUUAGAUAUCACGAAGAACUCCUAUUGCGAAGGCAGCUUACUAAGCUAUAACUGACAUUGAUGCUCGAAAGUGUGGGUAUCAAACAGG